ACACUUUAGUUCUCUUGCCCUCAGAUCUAAGCACUGCUCUUAGUGGCCACAAAAGCAGGAAAAGUAACACUGAAUCUGUCUUCAACACUUUCAUGGCACAUGGGCUGUUUUCAAACAGGU
rnacentral:snoRNA from 1 species